GCCACGGGGCACGAAACAUGCCACAGCAAUGAACACAGUUGACCUGUCACACGGGGGAAAGGGAGUGCUCAGCAGGCUGAGUCACUGCUCGGCUGGAGGUGGGGGUUCCCAGGCGGUGAAACAUCGAUUUUCUUACGAAGAGGCAUCGAGUCUAAAUAUUUUAAAGACCUUUCCGUCUAAGGAUGUCUUAUCUCAGCAUCAAGGGCUUCUGCAGAGUGGCUGGGAGAUUAUGCAAUCGAACUUGUAACGCCCAUUCAGAGGGUGAGCUCACCCGGAGCGCGGGUGCCUGCGAAGUAAACAGGAAUGCCGUCCGUCUUGCCUCCAGACCUCGUCUGCCCCCGGGACAAAGUCACCUCCGGGAAGAGUCUCGGGGCUGAUUCUGUGAUGAAUUUUACCUGCCUGAACAAGACUGGAUGCACUAGGGAUCUGAGUUUUAAAGGGCUAGUCUACCUUUUUAAAAAUCGAUUUUUUUCAAGAUUGUAUUAUGCUGGCCAGCGUGGCUCGGUGUGACUGGCCUGGCUUGCAGGUUGAGCCUAUCUAAAAACCAGGAGGUCUUGGUUUGAUUCCCCGUCAGGGCACAUGCCUGGGUUGUGGGCUUGAUCCCCAGUGUGGGGUGUGCAGAAGGCAGCCGAUCCGUAACUCUCUCUCAUCAUUGAUAUUUCUCUCUCUCCCUUCCUCUCUGAAAUUAAUAAUAAUAUAUAUAUAUAUAUAUAUAUAUAUAUAUAUAUAUAUAUAUUUAUCUCCCUCUUCCUCUCUGAAAUCAAUAAACAUAUAUUUUAAAAAAGAUUAUUUCAUGGAAGAAACCAUUUAUACCAUUGUAAUAGGGUUAUUCUAUUAAGAAGAUUUCACUCAAUUCCCAACCUGUUUCUCAGAUCCCAAAUAAAAGAAG